rnacentral:tRNA from 1 species
GGGGUUGUGGCUCAGUGUGAUAGAGUGCUUACCUGGCAUGUAUGAGGCUCUGGGUUCGAUCCUCAGCACCA